GACGAACGCUGGCGGCGUGCUUAACACAUGCAAGUCGAACGGAAAGGCCCUGCUUUUGUGGGGUGCUCGAGUGGCGAACGGGUGAGUUACACGUGAGUAUCCUGCCCUUGACUUUGGGAUAACUUCAGGCAACUGGGGCUAAUACCGGAUAGGAGCUCCUGCUGCAUGGUGGUGGUUGGAAAGUUUCGGCGGUUGGGGAUGGACUGGCGGCUUAUCAGCUUGUUGGUGGGGUAGUGGCUUACCAAGGCUUUGAUCGAUAGCCGACCUGGGAGGGUGACCGGCGAAAAUAGGACUGAGAGAGGGAGCAGACGGGAACGGGAGGCAGCAGGGGGGAAGAUGGCACAAGGAGGGGAAGGGAGAGGAGAAAACGCAGGGAGCGGAAAGAGGGGAAAGGGGGAGAAAACAGAAGUAGAAUGAGACGAAGAGGGAGUGACGGUAAUGAGAAAAGAAGCACCGGCUAACUACGUG
rnacentral:rRNA from 1 species